GUCAAGAUGAACCAUCCCAUAACAGGUUCUAAAUUAGCUCUCAAAGGAACCAUCUAAAGAAAAUUUUAAAAUAGAUCAAGCUGAAGAAGCUGCAAAAGGAGUCAUUCAUGCACAAAGGCUAACCCAAGGACAUAAUUUACUUGUCUGGUUUCACCACUGCUUCUGUGGUACAACCUUCCACCUGUGAUGUACAGCCAGGGAACAUCCAGAUUUGGAGUAGCAACAGCCACUCGCUUCUCAACCCUGCUCCGCCAUUUAAGAACGUGGCAGAAGAUAUCCCGCAGUGCCCGCUAGGCUGCACACUGCAGAGGCUCCUCAAUUUCCAGGGAAGCUCUGGUUUGGCCAAGGUAACAAGUGCAGAGGACAACCUGAAGGGAUGAUUUUGGAGCACAGGCCAGCCAUCCACCAAUAGGAAGCAGAACAGAUACAGAGCUCAUUAAAAAAAAAGUACUAGAAAUACUCAGCAGGUCAGGCGCUAUCUGUGCUUAGAGAAAGAGUCAACGCUUCAGGUCAGAGACCCUUUUGGUCCCUAUAGAUCUGACAAAGGGUCUCUGACCUGAAACGUUGAUUCUUUUCCUCUUCCCACAGGUAUGGCCUGACAUGCUGUGUGUUUCCAGUAUUUUCUGUUUUUGUUUUAGAGCUUCCAGCCAUGCACUCAGAAUCCCUGACACCUUGCCAACUUCGCCGU